GGGUUUGUUGAACUUCAUUGAUGGAUUGUGGUCCAAUUGCGGGGAUGAAAGAAUUAUUGUAUUUACAACCAACCAUAAGGAGAAGUUGGAUCCUGCUUUGUUGAGACCUGGUCGAAUGGAUAUGCACAUUCAUAUGUCCUAUUGUACUAAUCAGAGUUUCAAGAUUCUGGCUUUUAACUACUUGGGUGUAUCUGAUCAUAGACUAUUCGGGGAGAUUGAAGGCCUAAUCAAGAAUGUAGAGGUGACCCCUGCAGAAGUUGCAGAGGAACUGAUGAGAAGUGAGGAUGCUGAGGUUGUCCUUGAGGGAGUGCUUAAUUUGCUCAAGCGAAAAGCUGAUGAAGCCAAUGAAAUCAAGGAGGAGAAGAGUCCUAGCACCCCAGAAGACGAUGAGAAGGAAGAGAUUGAGGACAAAAAGGUUGAUGAAGGUGAGAUUCAAGAAGCUAAAAGACUGAGAACUGAAGUGUUGGUUCAUACUUUGAGAAACCAAAGGAGAGGAAGAAUGAGAAUAGGAAGACCGAAUAGAGGACGAGGGGGG
rnacentral:misc_RNA from 1 species